CUGAUUAGCUAGUUGGUGAGGUAAUGACUUACCAAGUCGAUAAUCAGUAGCUGGUCCGAGAGGAUGAUCAAU
rfam:Beta vulgaris subsp. vulgaris Bvchr9.sca026.con0171.1, whole genome shotgun sequence.